rnacentral:lncRNA from 1 species
GAAAAGUAAUUUGACUUUUCCUCAUGACUGUCAUCCAGGAGACACAUUUUCUCCCAGUGUUAAGCAUUUAUUUCACCUCAAAACUCAUUGUGAGUCCAGUAGAUAACUAAAUAAAUUGUUAUCAGGACACAGAAGAAAAAAAUACAAAAGGCAAAUCCUACUGCCCCAGCUUUGCCUCAAUCCUCCUCUUCAGUCUGAAGGCAUAUACUGAGCAUUGACUGUAAGUAGGAUUCUGCUUUCAUCCUCAUAGGAAAGAUAGAUCAUAAUCCAAUCAAUAAAUAAAGGAAUUGAUCAUAUGAGAGGUAAUGAGUGCCA